AAGGGUUUAGCUCAGUGGUAGAGCGCAUGCUUAGCAUGCACGAGACCUGGGUUCAAUCCUCAGUACCUCCA
rnacentral:tRNA from 1 species